AGUUAAUUUAUUUUAGCAGUUAAAUUAUGUAAGCAAAAGCAAUUAAGCCAGUGUUUCUCAAUCCCACCUGCAUGUUUUAGGCGUUUCCCUUCGGCCACACACCUGAUUUGAAUAAGUGGGUGAUUAACAGACUUGAUGUCUGCAGAGGAAGUCAGACAGUCAUUUGUUCUGGAACAGAGAUCCAUCUAAAAUGUGCAGGCCAGAGGUUCCCCGAGGACAGGAAUGGAGACACUGGAUUAAGCAGAUUAAUUUCAUACAAGAGCGAAGUCGGCCCAAAGUAUUUUAGAGAUAAGCAGCAGAGUCUGUGGAUUUUCUCAAGAAGACGGCCACCUCUGUGGUCCCUUCUCUCCUUAUCUUCACUUAUCCUGGGACGCAGCCGCAGAGCGCCGUGUCACUGCGCGCCAGCAGUCGUCUCCCACGGCCUGGCUGGAAUUCGAGGCUGUGGGUGUGGAAAGUGUUUCUGACGGCUUUGUGCAUUCUUCAAUUGGAACCACAUGUUACAGAGCCUGAACGAAACCUGGCACAGGGAGCGAGGGAAUAUCAGAUAAUCUGCCCUGAGCGUUCUAGUCGCAGUGAGACAGGCAAAGAAUAAACCCAGUA